rnacentral:pre_miRNA from 1 species
UUUGUACUCCCUCCGUCCCAAAAUUCUUGUCUUAAAUUUGUCUAAAUACGGAUGUAUCUAGUUAUAUUUUAGUGUUAGAUACAUCCGUAUCUAAACAAAUGUAAGACAAGAAUUUUGGGACGGAGGGAAUACUAC